CAUGGAGUUUGAUCCUGGCUCAGGAUGAACGCUAGCGGCAGGCUUAACACAUGCAAGUCGAGGGGUAUAGUUCUUCGGAGCUAGAGACCGGCGCACGGGUGCGUAACGCGUAUGCAAUCUACCUUUUACAGAGGGAUAGCCCAGAGAAAUUUGGAUUAAUACCUCAUAGUAUGUGAGAAUCGCAUGGUUUUUCACAUUAAAGUUCCAACGGUAAAAGAUGAGCAUGCGUCCCAUUAGCUAGAUGGUAAGGUAACGGCUUACCAUGGCUACGAUGGGUAGGGGUCCUGAGAGGGA
rnacentral:rRNA from 1 species